rnacentral:rRNA from 1 species
UACGGAGGGUGCGGACGUUAAUCGGAAUCACUGGGCGUAAAGCGCGCGUAGGCGGUCUGUUAAGUGGGAUGUGGAAUCCCCGGGCUUAACCUGGGAAUUGCAUUUCAAACUGGCCGACUAGAGUACGGUAGAGGGAGGUAGAAUUUCCUGUGUAGCGGUGAAAUGCGUAGAUAUAGGAAGGAAUACCAGUGGCGAAGGCGGCCUCCUGGAUCGAUACUGACGCUGAGGCGCGAAAGCGUGGGGAGCAAACAGG